CUUAGCAGUUGCUUUUGCACGAUCCACGAUUUUAUAAGAGAAAUCAAAGGAUUAUGACUGCGUUAGAAAAGUUAUGCUUGCUAUAGUAUUGCUUCAUUUUAGUGUUAAACUAUUUGCAUGAAGUCUGUGUGCAACUAUUUCUGUUUCUCAUGAGAUAAUCAUGAGAAUGAGAAUGCACAUGUGGAGGAGAUGCCGUGCAUCACCAGUGAUAAGAAGACAGUAUCUCUUUGCAAUACUACCUCUCCCUUUUCCUUGUAAAAAAAAAAAAGCUGCUGUUAAUGACUAUCAUCAGUCAUUUUCCGUACUUAUGCGGAAGUGCUGUAAACUGAAUCUACUUCCUGCAAGUAAAACAAACUUUUAAGAGAACUCCAGUGAUUUUGUCCAUUAUAAUUAUCCUAACAGACUGUUACCUGGGUUCAACUUAUCGGUGCAAUUCAGGAAAAAGUCUACAACAUAUUGUAAAGUCGAUGGGAUCGAUUCCUUGAGCUGUCAUUUCCUGGCUGUAAUGCCCGCUUAUUUCUAGAUGACGACAGGCCUUGUGUGCAGCAUAGCAGAAUAAAUAAUUGUUGUCUUACUUACUGCUUCUUUUAGAUGAGUUUCCACGAAUAACCAAUUUUCUCCAACUGCUUUGAGAGGCAUUUUGCUGACACAGGACAGAGAUAGAGGUAGAAGCAGAAGAGCAAGGAGACUGAUGCAGAGAAGAGGCUGAGAGUUCAUGGUCGUCACGUGAGCGAUACAGGGAGAGCGGGAGACAAAGAGAUAUGGGAUGUUAUUCACACGGAAUUCCCCUGUUGGGAAAACAAAGCCUUCAACGUUCAGUAAAUCAGCCAGUCUCUCGGCGGAGAAGGCAAGUGGACGGAUGCACGUGCAGUCGGCUCCCGUAUUGGAGCCUGCAGUAAUUAAAGACAUCCAUCAGAUUAUGACAAUGGUGUCUGGAAGCAUUACACUGUGGGACCCAUAAUGUUACCAGGGUAACCAUGACGACUGCAAUCAAACACAGAGAUGAUGUCCCGUGUGAAGAUUCCUCUGAUUUCCUGGUGCGUUAUGAUUCACUUACAAACUAUGUGUGCGCUGUACUGAGACACAGAACGUCAGAGGUGUUCAAAUUGUUACAUUGCCUUCACUUUGAUUGUCGUUUAUCGUCCGAGUGCUGCCGAUGCUAACUUUCCCUCUGUUUCACCUGUUACUUUCCAUUGUUUUGUAUUCUGCUGUAAUGUUGAGGAUUCACAUCAAACAUUGGAACAAGUGCAUAAAGCAUUGCAAAUCAUUACUGUUUGUUAUGGCCACCAUUGAGUUUGCAAUGUUCUGACAGGAAUGUAGUCACGUGUUUCUAACUCAAGUACAUUGUGCAUGCUGUACUCUGCAUCUUCUAUCUAGAGACACUGUGCAUGACACCUGUGCAUACACGUGGGAUAGUAUUAAAACACUGGAAUGUAUUUGAAAGUGUAAUUUGGCGCAGGCUCUUACAACAAACUAUCAAAUGACAAAUGAUAACAUAACUUGUCCCUCUAAAUAGGUUGAACAUUUAACAAAAACUGAAUAAUAAAUUAAAGCUGCCCUUAAUAUAGUAAUGUUGUAUUAUAAUAAUUAACUUUAUUUAUAUGACAGAGCUGGGCAAUAUAUCGAUAUCGUGA